UGUUGUCGAGUUUCACAAUCAAUAAGUAUCUCUACAAGAAGAUCAAGAGGAACAUGCAUCGCAGAAGCUACAACUCAAAUUGAUUCAAAUUCCACAGGUAAACCAGCAAGAAUAAUACUAAUCUGUUCUUGCUCAGAAGCACCAUUCUCUGCAGCCAUUAGAGUGUCACAGAGGCUUUUAAUCUUGGUCAGAUAUUCUUUCACAGUUAACUGACCUUUUUUUUAGAGUACAAAGAAUGUCUCAAGGUAAAGACUGUCAAAGUAGAUUUUGAAACAAAAUGACGCACUACAGUAUUCCAGACAUCAAAGUUCGA
rnacentral:lncRNA from 1 species